UGGGGAAUCUUGCGCAAUGGUCGAAAGACUGACGCAGCGACGCCGCGUGCGGGAGGAAGCCCUUCGGGGUGUAAACCGCUGUUACUCGGGACGAACUUCUCGAUUCAUCGAGAUUGACGGUACCGGGGGAGGAAGCACCGGCUAACUCUGUGCCAGCAGCCGCGGUAAUACAGAGGGUGCGAGCGUUGUCCGGAAUCACUGGGCGUAAAGGGCGCGUAGGCGGCUUCUCAAGCGUGCGGUGAAAGCUCGGGGCUUAACUCCGAGUCUGCCGUGCGAACUGGGAGGCUUGAGUCUGGUAGAGGUCGAUGGAAUUUCCGAGUGUAGAGGUGAAAUUCGUAGAUAUUCGGAAGAACACCAGUGGCGAAGGCGACUCACUGGACAUGUAUUGACGCUGAGGUGCGAAAGCG
rnacentral:rRNA from 1 species